GGCGGCUUAGCUCAGUUGGUUAGAGCGUCGGAAUCAUAAUCCGCAGGUCCUCGGUUCGAAUCCGAGAGCCGCCA
rnacentral:tRNA from 1 species